rnacentral:rRNA from 1 species
GAUGAACGCUGGCGGCGUGCCUAAUACAUGCAAGUCGAGCGAACAGACGAGGAGCUUGCUCCUCUGACGUUAGCGGCGGACGGGUGAGUAACACGUGGAUAACCUACCUAUAAGACUGGGAUAACUUCGGGAAACCGGAGCUAAUACCGGAUAAUAUAUUGAGCCGCAUGGUUCAAUAGUGAAAGACGGUUUUGCUGUCACUUAUAGAUGGAUCCGCGCCGCAUUAGCUAGUUGGUAAGGUAACGGCUUACCAAGGCGACGAUGCGUAGCCGACCUGAGAGGGUGAUCGGCCACACUGGAACUGAGACACGGUCCAGACUCCUACGGGAGGCAGCAGUAGGGAAUCUUCCGCAAUGGGCGAAAGCUUGACGGAGCAACGCCGCGUGAGUGAUGAAGGUCUUCGGAUCGUAAAACUCUGUUAUUAGGGAAGAACAAAUGUGUAAGUAACUAUGCACGUCUUGACGGUACCUAAUCAGAAAGCCACGGCUAACUACGUG